UUCUGAAUAUCCUAGAGAGGUCAGGUUUGUUUUAGAGUACUCCAAUUAACAGCCCCCAUUACCACAAAAAGGAAUGGAGUCAUUAGCACUUAUGGUUUUUAAAUGGCACCCAGAAUUAUGUUGCACAAAGCACAAUUUCACAUCAUUCUGGGUUCAUUUGUGUGAAAACAAGGUCCAAUCAGGCUGAAAUGUUACAGGAAGGUGGAAUCUAUUGAGUUGUAAGUGAUCUGAACGUUUCAUGAUGAUAGCACUUUCCUAAGGGGGUCAAACCAUGUCCCAAAGGUCACCGGAUCGGGUGUCAAUUUAAAAUAGUAGUCCGGUUACACAUUUGUGGGCUUACAACUUGGCUUCUGAAUGUCCUAGAGAGAUCAGGUUUGUUUUAGUGUACUCCAGUCAACAGCCCCUACAACCACAAAAAGGAAUGGAGUCCUUAGCACUUAUGGUUUGUAAAUGGCACCCAGAAUUAUGUUGCACGAAGCACAAUUUCACAUCAUUCUGGGUCCAUUUGUGUGAAAACAAGGUCCAAUCAGGCUGAAACGUUACAAGAAGGUAGAAUCUAUUGAGUUGUAAGUGAUCUGAACGUUUCAUGAUGAUCGCACAUUCCUAUAGGGGGUCAAACCAUCUCCCAAAGGUCACCGGGCCUGGUGUCACUUUAAAGAAGUAGUCCAGUUACACCUUUGUGGGCUUAUAACUUGGCUUCUGAAUAUCCUAAAAAGGUCAGGUUUGUUUUAGAGUACUCCAAUUAACAGCCCCCAUUUCCCCAAAAAGGAAUGGAGUCAUAAGCACUUAUGGAUUUUAAAUGGCACCCAGAAUUAUGUUGCACGAAGCACAAUUUCACAUCAUUCUGGGUUCAUUUGUGUGAAAACAAGGUCCAAUCAGGCUGAAACGUUACAGGAAGGUAGAAUCUAUUGAGUUGUAAGUGAUCUGAACGUUUCAUGAUGAUAGCACUUUCCUAAGGGGGUCAAACCAUGUCCCAAAGGUCACCGGAUCUGGUGUCAUUUUAAAGGAGACAUAACAUGAAAAACCCACUUUUUUAUCCAUUAACACAGUGUGUUUCACAUUUUAAGUGUCUAAGUGAGCAAAAAGGCUUAUAUUAUUCACUGGAGUUGCUAUUUAGAUAUUUAAUAAUUAAGUUUUGGGCAUAUUUGUCCACCCGUUCAGUUUUUACAUAAUCUAUUACAUCAGUAAUUAAUUUAGUGAGGAUAACUACCAAAUAUGGUAAUGGCCCUCGGCUAAACACAGAGCCAAUCCGCCAUUUUUUCUUCUCGCUAAGAUGUUUUGUAGUCCUAUUGGAAAAAUGCAGAAUGUCUGGUUAUUUUAGCCACACACAGCUCAAAACUGUUCCUCGUUUUAAGGAAGGUUGGUGUGGCAGUAUUUAAACCCAGGAGCUGAUGACACUACUGCUAAAAAAACACAGAAGAAAAAGUAGUGUGUUUGUGUUUGUGCUUGUGUGUGUGUGUGUGUGUGUGCGCGCGCGCGGUUCGUUCUUUCGUGUCUUCAGGCUAGUAAGUACUGAGGGCUUCAUCUAUCUAAAAGGAGUCAUUUUUAUCUUAAUGUGGCAGCACCGGGACACAGCAGCAGAGCGAAUAUGACGAUGACAUCAUGGAACUGGUCUUUGGAAAAGUUUUCCCUGAACCAACUCCGUUUCUAGAUGAGGUAGAGAAGAUCUGCAUCUCACCAACUCUCUGGUCUCAGUAUUCAGACAACGGAGGUCUCCCACUGUUAUCCAGGACCAGUUUGAAGCCCACAUACUGCCCCUCCCUCAUCAUCAGGAAACAUCAAUCCGUAUCCUGAGGACAACAGAAGACGGCAGGAGGACAGGAACUCUGAGACCUAGACACCACCAGCACCGAGACACAAAUUACCUGUGUGCACAACGCCUGUUUAACUACUAAAGCCUGUUUAACUACUAAAGCCUGUUUAUUAUAUUGUUCUACUUAUUUGCUGUGAGGUUAAUACUUAGAAAAUUUGUAUAUUAAUGUAAACAAUUUUUAAAAAAUCACUGAUUGUAUGUUUUCUUUUAGAUGUAAUGGUCCAAACUCAGCCUUGUAGACAUUUAUUGCAUCCUGUAGGUAAAUACACAGAACAGGCUCAGGUCCAGGAUGACCCAGCAUGCUCUUCUUCCAUUCUGGCUGUUAGGGAUUUUAUCAAUAACUCAAUGCCUACUGAUGUUUUCACUUAACGGUAUUUAUUUAGAAUGCAGGUAAGAUUUAACUAUAUUUGUUAGCAAAGCAGACUGAUCUUGGGAAUUUCACUGCAGCACUGAUGUCCACCUCUCUGUACACAUUAGAGAGAAUUACCACUUUACAGCUAAACACAUUUAAUAAAGAUAUAGGCUACGCAUUGCAGACAAUAAAAACAAAGUUGUAAGCAUUAGAAUUAUAAUGAUCACAUUAAAGAACAUUUGGAGGAA